AAGGGGAAAAGGUCUUUGAUCCAAUUCUCGCCCGUUUUAUACGGGGGCAUCAGCCUUGCCUUGCUACUUACUCGAAGCUACUAAGGUAGAACCUUUCUUACUAUGUAACCAUUAGUAGUUGAUUCACCGGUGAAAUGAAAAAGUAAGACAUUUGUGUCAAAGGAUCAAAACGGCUUAUGAAAUGAAUGGAAUUCCGGCUCUCUGUCAAAGACGCAUAGGGUCUUCUCCUCCAAGAGGUUGUGUUUGAUGAAAAAUUUUGCAUUCCCUAUAUUCAAUUAAGGAAAAAGGAAUUAUUAUAGGUGUCAAUCAUCUGAAACCCUACUUUUCAAAAAUGAAAAGGCUAGCUUUUUUUUUUACACUAUAAAUAGCAGAUUUUUUAAAAACUUUGUUUGCUCACUUCUUACUCCCUAUAAUUAGGUUGAACCUGGAAAAAGGGGAAAGUUAUGGCCUUGGGCGGGUGUUCUUUUCUGAGGUUGCUUUGAGUAAUCAGAUGCAUAAAGAGCUGGAUGAGCAAUCAUCAAUCAAGCUUCUUAAAAUGGGUAAGGCAAAAUAUUAGCAGUUCAAUAGCCAGUCAAAAUUUUAGUGGAAUUGCUAUUUCUUACCUUACGAAAUCAGCUUUCAAUCCAGCAGGAAUAGCAGGUUACAGGGCAAUCUCUCCUGUGAGCAAACAAAGAAUUGAGAAUCUAUUACAUCUUACUUGUGCCUGUUAGCAUCUUAGUGGCUAGCUUCAGCUUUCUUAUCUGUACUGGACUAUUUUGAAUUAGCAUCUUUAUAGUUUCAUCCGAUUCCAGAUGGAGUUGGAGUCCUUCCUGCUAGUGCUUUGCCUUCCAUUUACAGGGUUGGAGUACUAACCGAAAGAAGGGUAGAAGUAUCUCAAGUAGUUUGAUCUUCCCAAAUGGGAAAAGAAUAUGAUAGAUUGCUCUAUAGGUAGGAGGUGUGUAAUAAUUUUCAGUCUCAAAAUAGAUUGCAGGAAAUUAAGAACCCUAGUCUUAUAGUAAUUAGGUUCAAGCUUGUGAGUGAUUGGGUAAACUCUGCAAGUGCACAGGUCAUAUAAGUAAAUAAUAGUGACCAAAAGGUCAAGAUGUUGAUCUCAUAAGGAUUGGUUAAAGAGGUUCCUAAACUAAGUACCUUUUAUCCCCAUAUGCUUUUAAAGUUGGUUUGAUCAAAAAAUAAUCAUGAAAAUUAACUAUCAAAAUAAAACAGAAUAAAGCAUAAAAAAUAUGAAGCUAAAUAAAUGAGAAAAUAACAAGAAUAAAAAGUAAAUUCAUGCUAUAAAAUGUAAAAUACAGCAACUAAAUCAAGGAAAAAAAACAAAUAUAAAGUAAAAUUGAAGUGAUAAAAAUGCAAGAUAUAAAUAACAUUGCAAAAUAAAAAAUUCUCAACUAACCUAGACUAAACCAUAACUUGCAACAUAAUAUGGAAUCCAAAUGGCAACAAGGUAAUGAAAUAAAGCCCAAAAAUUGCAAAAUCAAGUAAAAGAAUAUAUUAAAGAAAAGUAUGAAAUUCAAAUGAUAAAAAAAAUGCAAAUUUAACAUGAAAAGUGCAAAUUGAAAGCUAAUGCCAAAAUCUGGAAAUUUAAAUGGAUUUAUGGAAAAUGGAACUAAAACAUGUAAAACUAAAUGUAUAUAGGCUGCAAAUUGGAAGAACACUCAAUGAACAUCAUAAGAUUUCAAAUUAAAGAACAAAAGCUAAAGAAAAAUUGCAAGAUUCAAUAAAAGAAAAUUGAAACCAAAACUGAUUUUAUAAGCUGGAAAUUAAUAGUUCAUGGAAGAAAAAUUAGAUCUACAAUUCUCUAGAGGGAAUGAACUAAAACUAAGCUGCAACCUAGAUCUAUGAGUUAUCUACCUAAAUCAAUAAGAAAUAACAUGAAUCAACAAAGAAAUCAGCUCAAUGAACUCAAAUUCAAAAACAAUGUAGAAUAUGAAAAAAUAGAACCUCAUCAAAGAAAAUUAACCAAACAACAAUGAAAAGCAUGAAAUAAAUUGUGCAACAUUAAAAUUAACAAGGUAACUAAUAGAACUAAAGAUCUAAAGAAGAAAGUGAGCCAAAAAAAUCACCAAAGUGGAGAGAAGUUCAUGCCAAAGUAGUUGUUCAAAACUAGAACUACAUUAUCACUUGCAUCCAGCCAAAAUUUCCAAGCUUGAUCUGGAACGUCAUGGUGCGAGCUUGAAGCUAAGUUUUUUUUAUGUUGUAGCAAAAUGAAUUAAGAAACUGUAAAAAAAAAUUAAACAAAAACAAGCAAGAUUUGAUGGAGAUAUCAUCCAAAAAUCACAGGUAGGUCAAAACAGACAGAUUUAAAAAUAAUUUUGCAUAUCAACAAGAAAUUAGUAGAUUUAAGCUAGAAAAUGAAUACAAAUGGAAAUUUUAUUGAAAGAUUUUUAAAGGGCACUUAAAAACACUUAAAAAAUAGUAAAAUUGUAAUGAAAUUCAAAAUGAAAAAUGCUAGACAUAAAGUGUUUGGCAACUAAGAAAAUGUAAAGUAUAGAAAAGAAAAUACAAGAAAGUAAAGAAACAAAAAUUUAAAUCCUAAACUAACUCUCUUCCUAUGGCCAGCCCUCUCCCCUUAUUUAUAGGCAAAAGGAAAGAGCCUAAGGUCUAAAAAAAAUCCAAAAAGUUUUUCAUUUGGCUAGGCACUUCUGGAGCUUUCUUCAUUUUAUGCUCAUUACUAGGUGCACGUUGGUGCCGCUUCAGGUGGUUAGCUGUUUCCUUAAUAGGUUUGCAAUUUGCUUUCACGUGUAAUGGCUGCUCCACAAAGUCAACACAAUAGCCAAUCAUAGCCCUUUAAAAUGCCAUAUUAGCUCCUUGCCUUGGUGUUCUUAAACCUUGCAAUUUUGGUGCUUAACUUAGCUCCCAUGCAUAUGUCCAUGCACCACAUUUUUGCCUUUCAAAUUUUUUUCUACAAACAAUUUCGAACGCUUGAUGAAUUUAUUUAUCCUACAUUUUAUUAAAAACAAUUAUGAAAAUAAUACUAAAAGAAUUAUUCAAGUUAAGAAAACUUCCUAAGUGUCAAUGUGGCCUAUUGACAUUAGUUGAGGCCAUAUGCACAAAUUACACAAAAAAUCCUCCAAAUUUGUAUAAAAAAGUCCAAAAUUCCACAAAUCCAUUAUUUGUACGUACACAUGAGAUUAAUGUGCAUUUAGGAGUAAUUUUGCUAAAAAUCCUAAGGAACAAGCCAAAAUAUGAUUAAAAUUGCACUCAAAAUGAGCAUGAAAAAGCUAAAAUUUUAGUGCAACCAAUGAGUUAGUAAAAAUCAAUUUUCGUAGCUAAAGUGAAUCCUUUUUCUAAGGGGCAAGCUAGUUUGAAAUAAGGUAAUAGACAUACAAGGGUAGAGCUUAGGGGUUUCUUUGCUUUUUUUUUACUAUUGCAAAAAAAAAAAAAAAGAGCUAAACCCUUCCAUUUUCAUUUCAUUGAUUGCUAGUUUAAUGGAAAGAUAUCUAUAGGGGUUAAGGGCAGCUAGAGUAGGAAUAUCACAAGCAAACUUAUAUUAUUACCUAGAUAAGUUCUAGCCUACCCGUUAAAGUUUGUUUUCAAUCUUUUAAUUCAACCCAUUUCUUGCUAGAAACUAGAGAUAUGGAUUUGGAUAUGAUGUAAUUACUUGAUUAGCAAGAACAUGAUCUCUUCAAGAAGCACUCAUUUCAACUCAACAAAAGGGUUCCUCAUAUAAACAUAUAAUCUAUGUACGAAAACAUAAAUGAUUAUUUUGAAUAGAAGAAGUUCUAAGUAAACUUAACUCAAAUUGGAUUUUUACUCCAGAAAAGACAAACUAAUAUAAUGCAUGAAAAAGGUUUACCCAUAAGUUGACUCUUUUAAUCCAACUCUAUCAAAAGAGAAAAAAAGCUGGGACUAUGACUUGCUUAGUGCAAGGCUGCUUGUCCUGAUUUGUUAGACACUUUCUUCAUCUAAGGUCUUAGCUGGGUCAAUUUAUUAAGUUUUUCUAGCCAGUCUAUUGAAUGGGGUAUGAAAGAUUGUUAGUUAAAGCUUUGUUAAGAGUUUAUCUUCUAAGGAGUAAUCAAGAUAAGAUGACUUUAAUAAUUCUUUUUAUGGAGCCAAAUGUGAGUUUUUUGCCUACUAAUCUUACUUAAAAAAGUCAAUGCCAAUAUCAUUCAUUAUAGCAAAGAAAGGGGAAAAAAGUGAAGCGUUAGUUUGAAUUAAAGUAGAAGAGAUGUCAUACGGUAUAAGGCAAUAAUGUUUGUUGUCGGUAUGAAUAAAACCUUGUUUGUUAGGCUAGAUCGAUGUAUAUUUCUUGGUGAUAAUCUUGUUUCAUAGGACACCAUAUUCUCUAUAUAAAGAAGGUGGAACUAGCACACUAAAAAUGGCUUAGUGUGACCUAGCAACUGUGCAUUUGAGAAUAGUCUUGACUAUUGGGAUAGCAUGAAUAAGGAUGGUUCAAGGUUUAGCUCAUCGGUUGCCCUACGUCAGUAGUCCUCCUAACUUUUAUUCUUUUCUAUUCCUGCCUAAAAAUAAAAAAACUUUUAGAAUUGCACAAUGAUUGCAAAGGGGUUCUAGGUGAAUAUUGUAUUGUUCGCCUACAUGAGAUGGGCUGUGAAUAUAUAUUUAGACUUUAGGGUUUUUAUUAAAAAAGUAAUACUUCACUUUUAGAUAUCUACAAUAGAAAAUAAAAAGAUUUUCACUUAAUUUAAUAACAUGUUCUAGGGCAUUUAUUUUAACUAAUUAAGAUAGUGGGAUUUGUAAUCUAUUCACAUAUUUUGUUGCCAGGAUACACAAUCUCUUAUUAGCUUUAGGUUGGUUAAGAAUUAGAGUAGAUACUAAAAAAUUAUGGUCACUUUUAGAACCACUAAUUAAAUAGUCCUUUAUAGGACUAAGAAGUAGAUUCCCAUUCUUUGGGCUACAAAACUUUUCUUCCUAUCUCAAAGAAAAAUGGGUUAACAAGAGUAAGUAAUAAACUAACCAUCCUCUAAGAAGGAAGUAAGUUGCCCUCUAAUCCUAACAACUACCAUAUUAGUCCUACCCUCAGGUGACUUACCUUAUUCUUAUUUAUUUAUUGGAAACCAUGACUUCAGAGUUGACUUAAAUGAAAAGAGCUUUUGAAACUAAAGUAAGAAUUGCUCAUAUGGCAAAAAAACUAAUAAUAAAUUUUAUUCCAACAAAAGUAAAGUGAACAGCUUCAUAUCCUAGAGCCUUUGAUUCCAAGGUAAAGUAAAGUGGAGAAUCCUAUUAUUUUGAUUCCAUAAAAACUCUUUUUCUUCUUUCCAAAUGAUAGCUUUUUCUUUUUUUUUUUCCUUGUUUAGAGCUUAACUUACUUGAAAAAGACUUGUAAGAACAUUAGUAAUAGCCAUUUCAAAAAAGCUAAGAAGACAGGAUUGUUUGCGAUUUGUGUGGCAGCUUGGUUGUCACAGUAGAAGGGCAUAGCACCACCUUCAAACACGCGUAAUUCGCAUAAAAGUGAUCUGAACCAUAACAGUUGUCAUGUAGCAUAACCCACAACAUGACACUCAACCUCCACACUUAAAUAAGCAACCAUGAUCUGCUUCUUACUUUUCCAUGAGAUGAGAUUACCAUCAACAAACAACUCAUACUCAGAGGUGGAUCUUUGAUCACUAGGGGAUCUAUCCUAAUCUAUAUAAAAAAAUCCUUCAAUUCUGAGAUGAUUAUUAGCCUUGUAUAAAAGGCCCUGGCCCGGUGUCUUCGUCAAAUAUCGCAAUAUCUGCAUAACAGCCUCCCAGUGUUCAACUCGAGGCUGAGCCAUAAACGGGCUAACCACUUGGGGUCUUUGACUUCUCUGAUAAAGCCAACCUUUACUAGCUUAUAAAUUUUCAUGAUAAUAAGUAAGAGUUUGAAAGCUUGCUUGAUGGGAGCAGUCUCGCUUUUUAUAGUCAAUUCGUGGGUCAAGCCCAGGCAUUUCUUUGUAACUCUAGGCGAAGAUCUUUUUAUUUUGCAUCAAUAACUCUUUCUAUUGUUCCCUUUCAUCUUCAGAUAGGUUAGCACUGAUGAACACAGGCCUUGGUUCUUCACUUGUGCCAAGAUUUAUUUCCAUUAGCUUGUCAACCAUUGCUUGACCACCAUAUUCUAGUUUUGAGGAUUCAAACAACUUCACAGUUAUAAGUCAUUUUCUCAUGGUAGCUUGGUGACUCCACCGAAGAUGUUAUUUUUUAAGAGAGUCAGGCCAAAAUUGGUCAUAUGUUAUCCUAAGCUUUGAUUUAAUAGUCUUAAUUAAUAUUUAAAUUUAAUUCUUUUGAUUUUCUAAGAAAAAGUGCUACAUUGCAUCCAUAUUUUGAUUGUGUCAUUUAUUCUAUUUUUUUAUGUUUCUUAUAUACUAUUUUUAAUAAAUUAUGGGGCAUUUAGGAUAAGGGUAAUUUUGGUAAAAAAGUGUCAAAGGUUUGUUUGUUCCUUUGCACACACGAUCUCAUGCAUUGCAUGCAUAAGUUUUAUACCCAGGCUCUUACCUUUUAAGGAAGGAGUGAAGUACCUAUGCUCUUAUAAGGUGAAUACCAUUGUAAUGGCUAGCAAAACACUUUCACUCAUACUGAACUCGUUUUGUUUGUAGCCUAUAAUGGGUAAAGAUCGAGGUGCCUUUCUAGUCUAUAAUGGAUGAUGAUGUAAGGAACAAUUUGGGAACCUUUAGACGUAUAAAUCCCAACCUGACAUAUAAUGAACCUUAGGGGGUUAGCCUAGGGUAAAGCCAUGUUAAACCUUUUGUAGAAAUUAUUUGAAUUAAGAUACGUGAAGAACAUUCUGAUAUAAUCCAGAUUUAGACUUAAUAAUGGUGCGAAUAAAGCUAAAAUUUUGAAAAAAGGAAUAAUAAAAGAACUUUCUUUCAUGAAAUUUUCUUCUGACAUACAAUUCAAUUUGUUUGUUAUUGGUCCAAAAUUUGCAUCUUCAAGAAAAAUUUUGUAAAAAAAAAACAAAUUAGUAUCAUCCAACAAAAUUUUUUUCUUAAAUUCUUUGUUUAUUGGCACAAAAAAGAACAAAAAUUAAAAAAAAAAAGAGAAAAACCUUUGAAUCCUAGUUAUUUUGUGUAAUAAAAAAUGUGUGUUCUUGAGUUUUUUUCCCUCUUUCUAAAAAAAUAAAGAGAUUUUAAGUUUAAAUGUAGUUUCAUCUUAUGUAUUUCAUUUGAUCCUUUUCCACAUAUUUUUAUCAUGCUUUUGAUGUUGGAAAUAGUAAGACAAUACAUGCACCAUAUUUCAUGUACAACCUAAUAAGAUAAUAUAUGUAUCUCAUUUCAUGCAUCUUAAUAGAUAAUAAAUGCAUUCCAUUUCAUGAACAUCCUAAUAAAAUAGUACAUGCACCUCAUUUCAUGCACACCUUAAUAGAUAAUACAUGCAUUCCAUUUCAUGAACAUCAUAACAAGAUGGUACAUGUAUUCCAUCUCAUGUACAUCAUAAUGAGAUAGUACAUGCACUCCAUCUUAUAUGCAUGUCAAUAGAUAAUAUAUGCACUCUAUCUCGUGUGCACCUCAAUAGAUGGUACAUGCAUGUCAUUUCAUGCACAUUGUAAUGAAAUAUUACAUGUAUUCCAUCUCAUGAACAUCUUAAUGGUAGUUUCAAUUUCAUUAAAUUUUCAUAACAUAUGCAUUACACUUUAUGUAAGCAUACCUUAUCAUGCAUAUAAUAUGUUAGUGCAUUUCACUUAAGUGUGUUUCAUUAGUCAUAUACAUGCAUCUCAUUAUUCAUGAAGUAUGGCAUUGUUUUUUAGUCAUGUGGAUUCAUGAGUGAUAUAAUUUUGAUAAAAUAUGCAUUGUACAAGUUGUAUUUCAUGUAAACACAUCUCACCCCCAUUAUAAUAUGAUAUUGUUCCCCAUGCAUACACAUUUACAUAUGUGGUAUGAUUUUUGUCACUUAGGCAUUGUAUGUAUGUAAAUAUUCAUCUUUCUAGCAUCCAUGCACCUUAAUAGUGUUUUGCCCUAGUCAUGCAUCCAUGAUCAUGUCAUGCACAUUCACCAUCAUAUAAAAUAGCUUUUGAUCUCAUUUCUUUCGAAGAAUAAAAGGUUAAUAGUGCUGAUUUCUUGUUAAAUCUCUUAAGAGUAGUUUUGUUCAUCACAAAGAAGAUUGUAGAGCUAGAACAAAAAGGAUUUAAUAGGGUCAAGAAGAGAUAAGGGAAAGCAUUACAAGAAUAAGGCAAGAUUUUAAAAGAUAGUUAAUGAAGUUGAAACAAAUAGUGACAAGGCUUUCAAAAGGAAAGGGAAUUGUUGAAACGUCUAGGACAAGGGAAGAAGCUACUAUUAUGGAACUAUUGUACCCACUUGGGCUCAUACAUCCCUAUGCUUAGAAUUCCUAUACUACACAACCAUCGCUAGCAAACAUUAGCCUUACACUUAUACUAAUAUUUCUACUAAACCACCUUUGGUUCAGAUAAAUGUCAAUCUCGAGUCUAUUCCUUAUGAUCCCAUUGCAAUACUCAAUCUGGAUUAUCCCAAAGAAUGGGAGAAGCUAAAAAGGGUAUCGGUGAAAGUAAAAAACACAGAGAUGAAAAACAAGUAUGACUUUCUAGAGGAAAGGUUAAAGGCCAUUGAAAGGCAUAGUGUAUAUGGAGGAAUUUAUGUUAAUAAGCUGAGUUUGGUGCCUAAUCUAGUUAUUUCGACCAAGUUUAAAGUGCUAGAUUUUGAAAAGUAUAGUGGGACUCGAUGCCCCUUGGCUCAUAUCACCAUGUAUUUUUGAAAGAUAGUGAGUCACAUUCAUAAUGUCAAACUGUUAAUUCACUAUUUUCAAGAUAGUCUCACCAAAUUUGUGACAAGGUAGUAUGCUCAUUUAGAUCAAAUAAAAUUCAUUCCUGGAAAGAUCUAGUGAAGGAUUUUAUUGCACAGUAUAAGCAUAUGAUUGACUUGGCUCCUGAUUAAUUGUCAUUAAACAUGCAAAAGAGAGCCAAUGAAAGUGAUUGCACUAAAAUUUUAACUUUUUAUGAUUAUUUUUAAUGCAAUCUUCCUUAUAUUUUAGCUUGGUCCUUGCAAAUUAUGGCAAAAUAUUCCUAAAUGCACAUUUUUCUCAUGUAUAGGUAAAAAUGGAACAUAUGAGGAAUUUUGAUCAAUUUGGAUACAUUUUGAAGGAUUUUUGGUGCAAAUUGUGAAAAUGGCCUAAAACUAUUGUCAUUAAGUUAGAUUAGCUUUGAGGAAGUUUUUUGAACCUUUCUUUCAUAAAAUUUUAGCAUUAUUUCUAGCAUUUUUCUAGUGAUUUUAUUGCUAAAUUUGUUCAUGGAAUACUUGAAUUUUUUUGUACCAAAAAAUGAAAACAUACAUGCAUGCAAAAGGCUUAACGAGGAAAAGAUGGUGCACUAGUGGCGUGGAAUGCAAUCUUCAUUUUCAUGAGAAUUAGGCAUCACAUUUUGGCAUUCAAAGGAAGGCUUAAAGAGGAAAAUACAUGGCUCUUUGUAGAGAUCCUACUGGCUAUAAAGAGGACAUUUUGGUGUGGCAAAAAUGCAUAAAGGGAAGCUUGCUAACUAGUGAAGAGUUUAAAGCUAAACAACCAUGGACCAAGUGCAAAAGCAAGGAGGAAAGAAGUCUCUAGAAGCUCACCUCAUUGUAGAUAUUUUGGAGAGAUAUUUUAGGGCUUCAUUCACCACUCACAUGCCUAUAAAUAGGAGUCAAGCCAGCCAUUUCAGGAAGACUUUAGCUUAGGAUUUUAUUUUUCUUAUUCUUUAAUAUUUGCACUUUCCUUCACUAGAUUUUACUUUUUUCAGCAACCAAACAGCCCUUAAUCUUCAUGUUUUUCUAUUGAUUUUUAUUGCACUUUUACAUUUCCUCAAGUAUUUUUCAGUGUUAUUUACGAUUUUGACAAUGAAACAUGCAAAUUUUAUUGAUUUCCAACUCAAAUCUUCAAGUUUUCUUGUUGAUCUCAAAUCUGUUUCUGCAUUUUUGCACUUGACCUAGUUGCAAUAUUUUAACUAGAACUCAAUCAUUUCUUAUUUGUUUUUGCUCCAAUUUUUUUCACAGUUUUGUAGCUCAUUAGGCUCUAACAUAGUAAACAAUCAAUAUCAAAUUCAUUCCCAAUCAAUUAAUUAUGGUAAGUUAAGGUUGAAAUCUGGAUCCAAUGUAGUCCGGGCAUGAUCUCCAAGCUUAAGCACGACUCUUCUCUCCUCUUGGCAAAUUGUUUGAUCUUCAAACCUUUGAUCUAUUAGAUUUGCUUGUUUUCUUGCUUAUUUCCUUUUUUUUUUGUAAUUUAUUUCAUGAUUUUGAUAGCUGUUUGGACUAAUUAUGUUGUUCAUGCUCUGUUUUUUGCUUCGUUCUGUACUAAUUUUGAACUUGUUUAAUGAGCUGAUUUUGUUAUUCAUUCAUGCACUUCUCUUGUUAAUUUAGGCAGUUAACUCAUAAAUCUAGGUUGUUAGAUAAAAUUCCUUUUCAGCAUAUGAUCACUUGUUGAAUUUUUUUGUUUAGAAAUUUCUUGCAUUUCCAAAACAUAUUAUCUAUUGUUUUAGUUUCUUUGCACUGUUUGAAUAUUUUCCUGCAUUCUUUCUUCUACCAUUUAAUUCUUCAUUAAGUGAUUCAAGUAGUUUUCUAGUUAGCUUAAAUAAAAAACCAUUUAUGAAUCAUUAAGAGUCAAAUAAAAUCAUAUUACAGCUUGCAUUUGUCUAUUACGUUUCUAGUUUUUGCAUUUCUGAUUGGACAAAUUUUUCUUUUACAUUUAGCUUAUUCAUUAUCCUUUAGAUUAUACAUUUUAAUAAGUGGUGUAUUGGUUGUUUAAGAGUUAGUUCAAGUUUAGGAAUCCUUACACAUGUAGUUUUGUUUGCAUGUAUAGAUUUCGUCUUUCAUUUCAAAUUCAUGCAUAUGCAUAAUUUCUACCUGUCAGUUAUUUUGAAUCCUUAUUUGUUCCAUUUUACUUUCCUAGGAAUAAUGCACUAUUUUCAUUACUUGGUUUUUUAUUUGAUUUUAGCUUGUUACUUGUAUUUUAAAUUUUCAUUAUUUCCUAUAUUAGUUUUUUUUACCUGUUAAUUUUGUUUUAGUUAAUUUUUCAUGUUAAUUCUUUGAUCGAACCAACUUUAUAAGGGUAUGGGGAUAAAAGGUAUUUAGCUUAGGAAUGUCUUUAACUAAUUAUCAUGGGAUCGACAUCUUGACCUUUUAGUCGUUAUUAUUACUUGUACGGCCUAUGUACUUGCAAAGUUUUGUCCAUUCAGAAAGCUUCAAAGAGUAUGUCCAAGGUGAAGAGAUAUAGUUGCGCAAGUACAACCACUCCUGACAAAGAAAGAAAUCACGAGUUUGUUUGUCAACUCCUUAAACACUCCCUAUUAUGAAAUUAUGAUUGGGAAGGUUUUGAAAAACUUUGUUGACAUGGUGAUUUAUGGGAAAUGAUAGAAAAUGCAGUCAAGAAUGCUAGGAUUAAGUUGAAUAAUGUGACUAAUGUUAAAAAGGGUAGUGCAUAAAAAAAAAAUGAAAAAGAGGUGCAAGCAGUCACACUUGAGGGGCAUCUAUCCAAAAACUUCAUGCCAUGCAAUCUUUAUCCUCUUUAUCAACCCUAUUUCCCUAUCAUAGGCAAUACUCCUAAAAUCCAUAUCUUUGUCAACCAAGCUAGCAUUUAGGCUUUCAGGCAAAUACCCAUCCUUAAAUGAUUACUCAUAAUCCUGUCUUUACAUUUGAGCCUACCACCCAACCAACAAAGAGCCAAAUAAGACCAAAAGAAAACUUCUAAUCUCCAUUUCUGAUCUUUUGCCAUUGCUAACAAAAGGUCAGUACCUCACUUUUAUGCCUCUAAAAACAACACCAAGCCCAUCAUUAAGGAGUUAUGAUCCUAAUGGUACGUGUGAUUAUCAUAUGGGGUCAAUUGGUCAUUCGACUAAAAAAUGUAAGUAGUUGAAGGAAAGGGUUGAAGAUAUCAUCAAAAGUGAUAUUUUGAUUUCGAAAUUUAUGGAACAAUGAAAGUUGACCAAUCAUGGAAUGUGAAGAGUUUAGAUAUGAGAAAGAGUUUCAAGUUUUGAAUGAUCAAAAUAUGAUAGUUUCCUUUUGAACCUUUGAAAUUCUAUUUUGUGCAUGCCAUGCAUAUCGUGUUACUAAUAGAUAUUUGGAUUAAUAUUAUUGGAUUUUGUUUUAGAAAAAUGAAUGUUUGGGAGUUUCUUAUGAAAAUUGUUUUUUUGAUGCAAUUGUUCAAAAUAAAACCCCACAUUAUGAAUUAGCAAAGUAGGAAAGUUGCAAGAAAAAAAAUACAAAAAAGGCAAAAACAAAAAAAUGGGAUUUUAUUCUUAAAUAUUGCAAAAGUCUCAAAAGAAUUGGUGUUCAUUGUGAACCAAUCCCAUUUUUCCUUUCAAAUAUUUCAUGGCCAUUUAAGUGACCUCAAACACAUAAGUCCUUUAAUUAUUAACCAAAAAUUGCCUUUGCAUUAUGUUUGUUAGCCUUGAAUUGAUCCUUAUUUUAAAAUGACAAAACAUUAAAGUUAAAUAAACUUGAUCAAGAUUUUGAAAAAGAUUUAUUUAGUACAUGUUCUUAAGUUUUAUAUUUUGGUACUAAAUAAAUAAAAUGAUUUUCAAAGCUUAAACAAACCUUUCUUUGUUUUCAUUUUUUUCAAACCAAAUCUACCUUUAAAGAUUAUUUAUUUGAGCUUAAAUGAAAGUUCAAUUGUUGUUUUCAAAGUAAACUUAUUCAUUUUGGACUUAAUACAAUUUUGAUAAUAUUGGUUUUGAGAAAUAGAUUAACUUAAGAAAGCUGUUUUACAAAAACAAAGUUUUUUAACAUUGAACUUGUUUUAUUUUUCUGUAUUAAUUCAUAAAGUCUUAAUAUUUGAAUUUUAUAUGGUUGGAAAGCUCUUUGAGUUUUCUUUCUAAUGGAUUAAACAAAAUCAAAAUCCAAAUUUUUUAAGAAAAGAUUUUGAAUUUUUACUAGACACUCUGUAAUUGUUAGAAAAACUGCACAAGGUGUAAAUUUAAAAAUUCACUAUAAUUUGUACAUAGUGAAUUAGGUGAAGUUUACAUGGAUAGAAAGAUCUUUAAGUCUAGUUUCUAAAUAUUCAAACGGUUUGUGAUUUGGAUUUGUAUAACUCAAGUUAUGAUUAAAUUAGUAAGUAGAGUACAAAACGCAAAAAUACCACCUAGCCACUGACAGGAUCAAUCCCCUCAUGGAAGGGAUCGAUCGGGUCAUGAUUUUCAAGUGAAAAAUAGUUCAAAACAUGAACCAAUCAAUCCCCUCAAGCAAGGGAUUGAUUGGUUCUGGGCGGAAACACUCCAACGGCUACUUUUUGGUGCUUCCAACAACUAUUUUCUUCUCCCAAACACUUCCAACGGCUACCUCUUCAAUUUCUUUAUAAAUUGAGCACUCCAACACACCAAAAAGAUUGAUGAAUUAAGAGAGCAAAAGCCAACAAGUCAUAUUUUCAUUCUCUCAAAGAAUCAAGAGUUUUUAGAGCUUCAAAGUCCAUAUCUUUGUCUUUAUUGUAUCCAAAUUAUAUUUGUUGUUCAUUCAUCAUUUUCUUGUACUUAAACUUAGCAAACACUUAGCCUUAGAGAGGUUUGUUCUAUUGUUUGCAAAUUUACCUUGGAUAUACAAGGCUGGAAGAGAACCAGAGGUGAGGUAUCCUCUUGAUAUUUAAGGGUAGAGGUUGUUAUCUAGGCCUUGAAAAAAAGAUAGAGAUUUAGUACAAGAUGGGUUUGUAUCUUGUAAGAAUUUUUCUUCAAUUAGUGGAUUGAAGCCUUAGUGUGGACAACCAAGAGAGAGGACAUAGGUGCCUUGUGAAGAAGGAUCAAACCUCUAUAAAUUAUUAUGUUUGGUUUCUCUAUCCCUAUCUCCUUAUAAUUUAUUGUUGUUCAUAUUUGAUUUUAAGUUCAUUAAUUGUUAUUGUUUGCAUUAUAUUUUCAUCAAAAGUGCUUAUUGUCUUAAUUUCCAUUCAAUUAUAUUGAAAUCAUUGUUUGGGAAGAAUUUUGAGAGAUCUAAUUCACCCCCUCUCUUGGAUCACCAUCUAACCUAUAAAGUUGACAAUUGGUAUCAAAGCUUUGGUCUUAUUUUUAUAGGUUUAACGACCUUCAGAAAAGAUCCUAUGGCUUAAUUUUGGUUUUAAGAUGGUGAGGAAGUCCUCAAAGCUCUUAUGGUUGAUAAAUUUGAAUAUUGUGAAUGGAGAAGGAGGAUGAAGGUGUUCAUUAUGGCCCAAGAUUUUAGAGCUUGGAAUGUGAUUGAAAAAGGGCUUGAAACUCCUUCAAAUGGUGCAAAAUACAUGAGGCAAGUGAUGGAUGAUGCCAAGGCCAAGUGCUUACUAUAUGGAGCUCUUGACUCCCACAAAUUCAACUUGGUAUCAAAAUAUCCAACCUCAAAUGAGAUAUGGGAGAAGUUGGAUGAAAUACAUGAAAGACAACAAUCCAACCGAAAUGCAUCAUGUCUCAUGGCUCUUGAAGAUCCGGAGGUAACCUCUAAUUCUAUUAAUUCAAAUUCAUAUGCUUUCGAUGAAUUACAAGAUGCUUAUAAUGAGCUAUAUAUUAAAUGUGAAUUAAUGAAGAGGAAAUAUAAGAAAAUGAUUUCAAAGUUGAAUGUAGAGAAUGAGUUUUUAAUGAAUGCAAAAAAUGCUUUGGAAAAAGAAAAUGAAAAAUUGAAAAUAGAUUUUGAAACCUCUUAAAAUAGGUAUGAAAUUCUAGAAAAAGAGAAUUUAGAAUUGAAAAAGAAAUUUGAAGUUUUGAUGAA
rnacentral:lncRNA from 1 species